AGCUCUGCGCAGGGGCAGUAUAAUAGCCAAUGAGGUCAAACUGAGGCGUGAUUAUUGCUAAUUGUGAUGAAGCUGAAGCUUGAUGAAAGCAGAGGGGCUGUGUUCCCAUUAGGGAACUGCUGGCUUAUUUUUUGUCGGGGGCUUCGCACAUGCUC
ensembl:snRNA U4 U4 spliceosomal RNA